CCGAGCUCGGGAUGUGCCCUUGCUGGAGCCUCAGCCUCUCCCCAACCCCUAAUCCUCUAGAUCUUGCAGCCAGACGUCCGCACACCUAGGGUUUUCUCACCCUCCUCUCUCUGUCAUCCGGCUGCAGCGCGAGAACGGGGUGAGGUGAAGGGCAGAGAAGACCUCCUCGUCCAUCCCGAUCCCGACCUGGAGCAUGGCGGCGGCCGCCCCGUCCUUCCCGGCGUGCUGGUUGUGCUGAUUCUAGGCUGGACAGGUCGGUGCUGGACCUCAAGGGCGCCUGCUCCACCUACAUCCUCUUUGUAGUGAAAGUGAAGCAGAGCAAGGAAAUCAUAAGGGAGGCAACGGGGAAGGGAAGGCAGAUUGAACCUCUCCAGAAUUCUGCUGCUAUCAACCAAGGCCGGCACCUUUUGCGUUCCCAAGCCUGCUCACGUACAAGGACGAGUACAGAUGGGGAUUCCAAUGUUCUUGAAGAGGAGUUGAGGGGUGUACGUGGGAGGCACCAGUAGCAGCAGCACCUCUGCCCUCACAGCUCAAGUCCGCAAGCCUGCAGUAUGCUUAAAUUACACUAAAGGUUCAGGAAAACCAUCCUCUUUGUUCCAAUAAAGGUUGGAUAUUUACCUGAAGUUUAAUUAGUUUUCCAAAAUUUUGAGCGGUCUGUCCGAAUCCAGUUUUCUUGAGAGGCUUUGUACUAUGAGCAGAGAGCAAAUUAUAUUAUAUGUAUUGUUACAGAUGAUACAAUUGUUUUGAGCACAGAGGGUAAGAAAGGUAGUUUUUUAAUGAACAAGGAUGCAAAGCUUGUUGAUAUUAAUACUAUGAAAUUCCUCUAUGUGGAAUAUACUGCAUGUUAUCUCUUUUGUUGAACAAAUUUCUGAAAUUACAUUUAUUGUGUCCUUUGUAUAGAUAGAUGCAUCAAUGGUUUUUUGCAUGAUGCAUUUUAUCUGGAUCAGCCUGACAAGCCUACGAUUUGGACUGAAGCUUGGACUGGAUGGCAAUGCAAAUGGUUUGGGAGCAUAAGCGCUAUGAAUGCUCAGUCAGAAGAGCAUAAUCUGAGGUAUUUCAAGGAUCAUCCACCUGCCAAGCUUUGCAAAGUUGAUGCAUUUCUGAAAACAAUCCUAGACAUAUUGUUUGCAUUCAUGAGGCUGGAUGCUAUGCUCUAUGUCUCUAACUUUUAUCUGGAUUUCAAUCAGCUAAGAAUCUCCUAUGCUACUCUUGAGGCAGCCUGCCAGGAGCCGAAGAGCAGCAGGUAGAGGGUUCUUGGUGCUGCUCUGAAUUUCGGCAACCUGAUGAGCAUCAACACAGGUUCUCCAAACUCACAACAGAUGCACCCACUAGGAUAUGUAAAACAUUCGAGGGAGCAAUGAGGCAACCACCGACAAUUACACUUGCCUUUGAAUUCCUCCUAGAUGAGAUGCAUGUUUUGACAUGCAAAGCAACGAUUAGCUUUGCUCUGAAACAUUUGAAGUUAAGUUCAGUAUUUGUGUUGCCUCACCUCAUAUUGUGCUUUUAUGUACAUCAAAACCUAUGAUUUUAGAGUUAUUUGGUUUCUCACCAAAUUAGUAAAUAAAUAAUAAUAAGACCCAACUAUUGUCAUGGAUUUUUAGAUUUCCAGAUUUUUCUUUUAGUGCUACUUGAUGUAUGCAUAAAUUUUUGCCUUUGGUUAAAUCAAGUUGUUUGCUAUCCUGCAGAAAUUAAUAAUAUGUCUUUCAUCAGAGAAUAUUUCCAUGGUGGAUCGUCUGCAUGACUGGAACAGACAGUGGUGAAGCAUAGGAGUGACGAGCCGCGUGGAAGACACGGAGACGUCGAGGAGAUACCCUUCCCUACAGCAACAAGAUUGGUUUGCUUGGGUGGAGCCUAAGGUUGGUGGCGAUCUAAGUAAAAUGCAGACAAUUGGCUACCAUAAUGUUGAACAAAGGGCACACAUAAAUUGGUUGGGCGCCUACCAUCACGCCCGAGUUGAAGAAAGACCUUCAGAUUUUGCAGGUAUGGUGUUCCGUUGGGUGAAUUGUUCUUAGUGGUAUACUUUUGUGUGGGGCUGCACUUUUGUAAAUGUGAAAAACAGAUAUUACUUUCUUUGAGCAUGUAGGAACAACAUAGGUGAUGCAUCGCUAAUUACAUUUUGCCGGAACAUUCUUCAUUAUGAUGGUAUCUCCUAUACAAUACUUUCUUUCUCUGGAUAUAGAUAGAAGGGAGUUUUGCUUCAGAAACAAAUUUACUGAACUGAGUAGGGAAAGCACAAUAUUAAGUUCAUGGCUCCACUUAGAACCUCAGAGUUUUGGCUAUUUGUUCAGUUUUUGGUCUUUAUUGCUAUUUUAUAGGCUAUAUGCAUGGCCAUUCAGUAUGUUCCUUAAACCGGUGGUUUAGUGUCUGCCUAUCAAACUAGGGUGUGGAAGGACAAAUAUCAAGUCCAUCUGAUGAAACACAGAGAUGCCAAAUCCACCAUUACAACUAACUUCAUAAGAUUUUUCCUGGACUUCUGCGAUCAAGGAAGGCCAUGUCUAUACCUUUGUCUUAAUUGUUUGAAAGGAUAAUUAUCUGUCAUGGUCUAUUUCCUUUGAAAAGACUGGCAACAAACAAUGAGGACAAACAGUAUGUUCAAGAUGUGUGGUCAAGCUACUAAUGUUUUUAGAUCAGUUUCUUAUAUAUAUUCCUGGGAUCUACUACUGUUCCAUGGGCCAUGCAUGGCAAGAAACUAUAUAAGCUUUCUACUGCCUGCUAUCCUUAUAUAUUUUCUACUGCCUUUUGGCUUAUUGAGGCUGGACGUACUGCACUGGUAAUGCAUGUAUUUGCCAUUUUUCUUAGAUGCUCUGUACUUCCGUUUGAAUCACCAGUGGCUGGAAGAGGCGCCGCACGACAAGACGCAAAACUGAAAUCUGAUUCCCUCCUACAAUAUAAUCAACUUACAAUAAUAGAUACAUACAAUGAAUCUAUAUUUCUACCCCUCGGUUACUUCUGGUUUGAUCAGAACUGACCCCAUCAUUUUCUAUUUUACAAUUGUGAGAAUAAUGUGAACUCUGCAUGUAUGUGACCUUACUGGUUCUGAGUACAUCAAUAAGUGGUGAAAAGGUUUUCCAAAGUCGAUUUUAUUUGUAUCAUCUGUACAGGAAGACAUUGUUCUACUGUAUCAUGACAUGUCAAUUGCUUGGUAAGUUUGCUGGAAUUCUUAAUCAAUAAAAGUUGGUCGAUAAAUGAAAUUGUCACGUUUUGUCUAGACUGAUCCAAGAAAGGAGAAGAGCAAUGAGAAUCUGGAAUUUCCACAUAACACGAAACAAGUAGUUGGGAUUUUCCACAUAUUUUAUGGAUAAUUUUGACUUGUUUAUUCUUUCAGGUGUGACUCCAUGAGAAAUGAAUUCCUACUAAGCUAUUGGAGAUAUAACGUCUGACUGCAUUAUCACCUUCCAAGCAAAGAAUGUCCCGCAUCAAAAUUACUUUUAUUUUGAAUUUAAUUUUGGUAGGCCUGUGUAUUUUAAUAUCCUGAGUGUAAUAUGUAGGAUGGCAAUGUUGUUCUUUUUAACAUGGUCAUGUAGAAAUUGGUAAGAAAGAAUGAAAGUGCACAUAUUUUAAACCAGCUUUUAUUCUCUUUCUUCCUCAAGCAUGCUCAGUAGUAGGUUUACACUAAAUUUUUUUUAUGCCUAUCUGGUCACCUACAAAAGCUCUAUCUCUAAUAUGUUAUAUCUAUUCCAGGAUACUAGAGCACUUCAACUAAUGUCUCAAAACCACUGGCUGCCUCUAGAGCGUGACAAGCUGAUGAAUAAGUUGUUGCCCAUACUCAUGCUAAUAAAGAGUUCAUUAUUCUUAGGGGUUAGAUGGUUUUUAAGUUAGGCUAACAAUUAUGAUGGCGCUGUGACUCAUGGACAAGUUUGCUUAAUCAGCACAACUUGUUAUGUUCAAGUGCAUAUACAGAAGCACUUUCAAUGUGGUUAUUUGUGUGCUAAUAGAAAUUGCUGUAUUUGUGCUCAUGAGAAACACAUCAAAACUCGUGCUA